AUUGAACGCUGGCGGCAGGCCUAACACAUGCAAGUCGAGCGGAUGAAGGGAGCUUGCUCCUGGAUUCAGCGGCGGACGGGUGAGUAAUGCCUAGGAAUCUGCCUGGUAGUGGGGGGUAACGUCCGGAAACGGGCGCUAAUACCGCAUACGUCCUGAGGGAGAAAGUGGGGGAUCUUCGGACCUCACGCUAUCGGAUGAGCCUAGGUCGGAUUAGCUAGUUGGUGGGGUAAAGGCCUACCAAGGCGACGAUCCGUAACUGGUCUGAGAGGAUGACCAGUCACACUGGAACUGAGACACGGUCCAGACUCCUACGGGAGGCAGCAGUGGGGAAUAUUGGACAAUGGGCGCAAGCCUGAUCCAGCCAUGCCGCGUGUGUGAAGAAGGUCUUCGGAUUGUAAAGCACUUUAAGUUGGGAGGAAGGGCAGUAAGUUAAUACCUUGCUGUUUUGACGUUACCAACAGAAUAAGCACCGGCUAACUUCGUG
rnacentral:rRNA from 1 species